rnacentral:tRNA from 1 species
GGGGCUGUAGCUCAGCUGGGAGAGCGCUUGAAUGGCAUUCAAGAGGUCAGGAGUUCGAUCCUCCUCAGCUCCA